rnacentral:rRNA from 1 species
GAUGAACGCUGACAGAAUGCUUAACACAUGCAAGUCAACUUGAAUUUGGGUUUUUAACUUAGGUUUGGGUGGCGGACGGGUGAGUAACGCGUAAAGAACUUGCCUCACAGCUAGGGACAACAUUUGGAAACGAAUGCUAAUACCUAAUAUUAUGAUAAUAGGGCAUCCUAUAAUUAUGAAAGCUAUAAGCGCUGUGAGAGAGCUUUGCGUCCCAUUAGCUAGUUGGAGAGGUAACGGCUCACCAAGGCGAUGAUGGGUAGCCGGCCUGAGAGGGUGAUCGGCCACAAGGGGACUGAGACACGGCCCUUACUCCUACGGGAGGCAGCAGUGGGGAAUAUUGGACAAUGGACCAAGAGUCUGAUCCAGCAAUUCUGUGUGCACGAUGAAGUUUUUCGGAAUGUAAAGUGCUUUCAGUUGGGAAGAAAGAAAUGACGGUACCAACAGAAGAAGUGACGGCUAAAUACGUGCCAGCAGCCGCGGUAAUACGUAUGUCACGAGCGUUAUCCGGAUUUAUGGGGCGUAAAGCGCGUCUAGGUGGUUAUAUAAGUCUGAUGUGAAAAUGCAGGGCUCAACUCUGUAUUGCGUUGGAAACUGUAUAACUAGAGUACUGGAGAGGUAAGCGGAACUACAAGUGUAGAGGUGAAAUUCGUAGAUAUUUGUAGGAAUGCCGAUGGGGAAGCCAGCUUACUGGACAGAUACUGACGCUGAAGCGCGAAAGCGUGGGUAGCAAACAGG